GGGGGGGGGGGGGGGGGGGGGGGGGGGGGGGGGGGCGGGCGGGGGGGCGCGGGGUUGCUGGAGGGGGUCGGUGGCGGACGGGUGAGUAACACGUGAGCAACCUGCCCCUGACUCUGGGAUAAGCGCUGGAAACGGCGUCUAAUACUGGAUACGAGAAGGGCCCGCAUGGGCACUUUCUGGAAAGUUUUUCGGUUGGGGAUGGGCUCGCGGCCUAUCAGCUUGUUGGUGAGGUAAUGGCUCACCAAGGCGACGACGGGUAGCCGGCCUGAGAGGGCGACCGGCCACACUGGGACUGAGACACGGCCCAGACUCCUACGGGAGGCAGCAGUGGGGAAUAUUGCACAAUGGGCGAAAGCCUGAUGCAGCGACGCCGCGUGAGGGAUGACGGCCUUCGGGUUGUAAACCUCUUUCAGCAGGGAAGAAGCGAAAGUGACGGUACCUGCAGAAGAAGCACCGGCUAACUACGUG
rnacentral:rRNA from 1 species